rnacentral:sRNA from 1 species
UUCAGUUUCCUGCCAUUUGUUUUUUUAAGUGCUAGAUCUGAAUUUAAUCUUAAUCUUUUACUGCUUAUUCUUUUUGAAUGUUAAUUAGGUUGUGAUCUAUUUCUUCGUGUCGUGGUGCGAUCCUUGCAAAUUCCUAGAAGAAGAGAUUCACGCCUAGCCUGUAAAGGAUGCAGCAUAGGAGUUUCAGGUAGCAUCUGGAUUUUAAGGUUGUCGUAUUAGCAGGGUCACUAUCUUCGUUCUUCCACUAAAGUCUUUUCAUCUUCAGAUGAGUCUUUUCUUUCUUUCAUCACAAAUGCUGUUGUUGUUUGGGGGAUUCUUGAGCACCGCAGUCUGAUCAACAUUGUGGAUGAAGAUUUUAACCUGUUCCCCUUUGGAUGUCUAUAUUUUCAAUAGUAUCAAUUUGUUAAUUAAUAUUGUCAAGUGAAAUUAACAUGAAUCUAGUUGAAAAAAAUGGAAAGAAAGCUUAUAUUAAGUACUGUAAUAUAAUCAAUUAAUUAACAAUUUAAUUAAAU